ensembl:lncRNA
AUGAUCUGUCAGUUAUUUGCAGCCCCUCCAAGAUUCAACACAAUGUCCAGAUUUUCUUCAGUGUUUGGAACUGUUCUUAUCAGAAGCAGUAAUGGCCAACUGAUGCUAGUAUCUCAACAAGCAAUAGCACGAGCACAGCCUCAACCACAAAAUAACACAAGUGUACGACUGUCUGUACCUACCAGCACACCUGCAGUCAGAAUAUGUGCUGUACAGAACUCUGGCACCCAGUUAAUAAAGAAAGCAGUACCUACUCCUUUGAAAGCAUUAUCUCAAACAACAAAUGCUGUGACUUCUACUGUUCAGUCGCCUGCUGUUAUACAGGCUGAAGGAAGGUCAUAGCUGAAGACCUCUGUUCUCCAAGUGAAUUAAGUGAAUUUAGUAGACAGAUUCCAAAAAUAUGACUGUGGAUAUACAAUUACUGGAAAUGUCUUACUGUUUUCAUACUGUAUAUUUUGUCUUGUUUCUCUUUAGUGGAGAGAAAUGCUGUAGGACUACUCUGAUGAGACCAUUGGUACUUGUAGAGUAGAAGACUUACAGAUCCAGUUCUUUCUCUGUUCCAGGGGACCAUGGUUCUGGAUAUACAUGGUGCACAUGUGAUGAAAAGAAAACUGCUUCUUUCUGUUCUGUCCUCCCUGUAUGCUGGAGGAGAAAUUGUGGAGAUUUUGCUUGUACUUGCCUCUUUUUUGUGUCCAAGCUGAGUGAGCUGUAGUAGUUGACCAAGCAUUCAGAAAAUGAGGGGAAAAAAAAUCCAAGCUGGAUGUAUGUUCUUGACCUUGAGUGUUUGAAAGAUGGAGAGAGAAGUUUGCUGAUGGCAGUAACUAAUAGUCUGACUUACAGACUUGUCCUCCUGCUGUUCUUCUGUAUUAGUAACUGAAAACUACCCACAGCUCUGUGAUCUUUUCUCUCUUCCUUCUCACUAUAGGUGGGUAAUAUUGGAAUUGAAGGGGAAACCCAGAGAUCUCUUCUAAUACAUUUUCUGUUUUACUUAGAAUGGAACCAAUGUAUGCUUUAUGUCUGUCAAGAAUAAUAGUGGGUAUUCCUGACCUAUAUUUAUUUUUGGAAUAUUAGCUUGCAAACCAUGUGUUUGUGGUCUCUACACGGAGGUCUUUGGAAUGUAAAAGAAAGAGACAUCUGUUCUACUACCCUUACACUGCAGGGAAGAGAGAGAUUUUUUCCAUUAGAUGGGUGAAGCUGCAUACAUCCUCACUAUUUAAUAUGAAUAAGUGUUGAGUAUUAUCAUGCUAUUAACUAAUUUCCACUUACAUUUGUCUUUGAAAAGGUUCUUCUGUACUUUCUUGGUUCAUCUUUGAUGUAAUCUUUGUUCAGCUUGUGAUCUUGUGAGGUGUUUAAGUAGGUAGACAGUAUUUUUGGCAAGAAAGUUUGUAGAAACUUGAACACUUCUAAUGAGCAUAGAGCUUGAUUUAGGCUGCAGGAGGGAUGACUAGGAAAGGUUAAUACUGCCGUUCUGUUUGGAAUGGCUUUCUCAGAGCCUGUUUUGCACAGUGUUACAAAAUGCUCUGUACAAGUCCCUUUUAUAAUAGAGUAAAUAAGUGCAAUAUGGAUACACACUAUCAUAGGGCCACUAAAGUGUUAGUUCUGGGGCAGCUGAAAGGAGAAGGUCUGACAAGGAAGCCUAUAUGUAAGGUUGCAUGAAUUUCCUGUGGAAAGAAAGGAAAAGAGCCCUUGAGCCUGGCUUCCUUGGUGACAGUGUUGUUCAGAAGACCUAAAAGAACUUGCUGGUGUUAGCCUUAGAUGUUUUUUGAGGUCCAGAAGGGGAACAUUGGUAUACUAGUAUGUCUUCACAAAAGGUGGGAAACAGUGGAGAUGAAAUGAUACUUGCCUUCAUUUGUCUCUCAUCCCCUUUGAAGUAUAACCUGGCGUACACUGCAAAACUCUCUCUGGUUGCUGACUCCAGGACUGUUCCCCUCAUCUACAAAGAUAUUUGUUUGUUUUGNCUAGAUGAUCAUUGUGGUCCUUUUCAACCCAGGCCAUUCUAUGAUUCUCUGCUAGAUUUAAUAACGUUGUUAUUUGUCCUUUUUUUUUAAAAUUCUGUCUAAAGUCCUGUGUUUUUUAAAUGCCCUUGCAAAAACUCAAGGGGAAAAAAAAAAAAGGCAGGUCUUCCUGCACCCUAUUUUAUUAUUAUGACAUAUUGUGGUUCAGAGUUUUUCAUGUUAACUUUGUAGAAUAAUAUGUGCAACAACUGCAGCACAGAGUGCUCUGUUACUUUUGGACAGCUUUAUCCUGGCUGCAGAAUGACCAGGCUGUGCAUGCAGGGUCAGCACAACUAACAAAGCUUUUCUUUGAGCUCUGGUUGCUGCCAGGGCAAGUUUGGCUUCGUAAGUAAUGUGUCUGCCUUCUGCAGGGCCCUGGCUAAGAAUCCCUGCUGAACACUAGCUGUGUUCCCAGAGCAGUGUGGAGGAAUCUCAGUAUCACUGCAGAGCUCCAGCCUGCAUCUGGCACAGCCAGAAGUCAGUCUGGAGAGGUAGCAAGCUCCCUGGACUAGCUCAUGCCUAGGAACCAGGGAGUUGCUGCGCUGCCUUUGCUAACACUUCUACAACCCUUUAAGUUCCUCAGGCAUUUGUUAAUUUACACAUAGCUCUGUCUUCAUGUGUUGAUGUACAUGCUUAUCCUGAGUUAAUAAGUUGUCCCACAGUGUAGGGGACAGGUCAGUUUGGUGUAAGGACCUCAGGGCAGUUCCAUGGAACUUAGAUUGACCUGUGUCAGGUCUGGUGUCAUGCAGAGCUGCUGUGUGCUGUCAGGUAUCACGUAGGCUUUUUUGCUUUCGGCUGUGUCCACACCCUUGUAAUCCUUAAUGAAGUACCCUCUACCAGUUGUAUACUAUGUUAACAAUGAAGUUCUGUGACCUGGGCAGCAUUGUUCAAGCACUAUCGUGAUUGAGUUUAGCUGACUUCAUAGCAUUACCCAUCCCUUAAAGCAUCUUGUACCCUGGUUGCUUUUUUCUGACACACCUUAAGGCUGUGUAGCCAGCACAGACCAGGCUUGCUUGGCACAUACUGUGGGCAGCUGCUACGGGACUGAGUGCCAAAUGGCAGCUGACUUCACAGGCACUUCUCUUCACUGCUGGCCUUGUUUGGGGGGGAAACACUUGUGUCUCAAGUCUGGGAAGAAAUUUGAUGAGGGUUGUUGCCAACUCACUUUAGCUAGUAAAGUGGAAUUUUAGAUAAGGUUCUCCAUAGAGUUGUCCCUUAUCUUUUGAGCUGCAGCUUUUGAUGCAGCGUUGCAUGUAUUUUGUUUCGCUCAUUCCAACAGGUUGAAAAGAACAUUGACUUUGGCUGCAAUGCCACCUUGAUGUUCAUAUCUGUGCUGGAUGCUUUUGGUGAAUAAACUGCAUCAGGAACGUGAGGAAAGCUAAGCAGUCUUUUAAAAGAUGAGGAAGCAAACAUUAAAGAUAGGAGUGCUGUAGAAAGCCCAGAUGUACAAACAGUUUGCUCACUCAGUAUAUUAGCAAGACGUCACGUUCCUGUUGUAUGAAGCCCAGAGCAACAGCACUAUGCUGGAGACAUACAAACUUCAAAAAUUGUCAGGGGAAAAAAGUUUUUGUGAGAAUAUACUGGUAGCUGCAGAAAUGAUUUCCCCUGAUUCUGAGCCAUAACAGAUUGUA